rnacentral:rRNA from 1 species
AUGAAUCUCCUGGCCUGGAACUGUCGGGGGUUGGGAUUGACCUCGACAGUUGGCAAGCUGAGGGAUCUCAUUAGAUCCUACAAUCCUGCCGUAGUGUUUUUAUGUGAGACUCUCAAAACGGCUAGAGCUAUGGACAGACUGAAGUGGAGCUUGGGCUUCAAGCAUGGUGUAGCGGUAGACUGUGUGGGACGGAGUGGUGGUUUAGCUAUGUGGUGG